rnacentral:rRNA from 1 species
GACGAACGCUGGCGGCGUGCUUAACACAUGCAAGUCGAACGGAAAGGCCCUGCUUUUGUGGGGUGCUCGAGUGGCGAACGGGUGAGUAACACGUGAGUAACCUGCCCUUGACUUUGGGAUAACUUCAGGAAACUGGGGCUAAUAUCGGAUAGGAGCUCCUGCUGCAUGGUGGGGGUUGGAAAGUUUCGGCGGUUGGGGAUGGACUCGCGGCUUAUCAGCUUGUUGGUGGGGUAGUGGCUUACCAAGGCUUUGACGGGUAGCCGGCCUGAGAGGGUGACCGGCCACAUUGGGACUGAGAUACGGCCCAGACUCCUACGGGAGGCAGCAGUGGAGAAUAUUGCGCAAUGGGCGGAAGCCUGAUGCAGCAACGCCGCGUGCGGGAUGACGGCCUUCGGGUUGUAAACCGCUUUCGCCUGUGACGAAGCGUGAGUGACGGUAAUGGAUAAAGAAGCACCGGCUAACUACGUG